UGCGCAGGCGGUUCGCUGUGUCUGCGGUGAAAGCCCCGGGCUCAACCUGGGAAUGGCCGUGGAAACUGGCGGGCUGGAGUGUGGCAGAGGGGGGUGGAAUUCCGCGUGUAGCAGUGAAAUGCGUAGAGAUGCGGAGGAACACCGAUGGCGAAGGCAACCCCCUGGGCUGACACUGACGCUCAGGCACGAAAGCGUGGGGAGCAAACAGGAUUAGAUACCCUGGUAGUCCACGCCCUAAACGAUGUCAACUAGGUGUUGGGGGAGCGAUUUCUCAGUACCGUAGCUAACGCGCGAAGUUGACCGCCUGGGGAGUACGGCCGCAAGGUUAAA
rnacentral:rRNA from 1 species